rnacentral:rRNA from 1 species
UACGGAAGGCAGCAGUGGGGAAUAUUGCACAAUGGGCGAAAGCCUGAUGCAGCUAUGCCGCGUGUAUGAAGAAGGCCUUAGGGUUGUAAAGUACUUUCAUCGGGGAGGAAAAAACAAAACUAAUAAUUUUAUUUCUUGACGUUACCCGAAAAAGAAGCACCGGCUAACUCCGUGCCAGCAGCCGCGGUAAUACGGAGGGUGCUAGCGUUAAUCAGAAUUACUGGGCGUAAAGAGCACGUAGGUGGUUUUUUAAGUUCAGAUGUGAAAUCCCUGGGCUUAACCUAGGAACUGCAUUUUGAAACUGAAAUACUAGAGUAUCGUAGAGGGAGGUAGAAUUCUAGGUGUAGCGGUGAAAUGCGUAGAUAUCUGGAGGAAUACCUGUGGCGAAAGCGGCCUCCUAAACGAAUACUGACACUGAGGGUGCGAAAGCGUGGGGAGCAAACAGGGAUUAGAUACC